ensembl:snoRNA
AUCCUUUUGUAAUUCAUGGGUAUAAUGAUUGGUAUUCACGCAUAUGUGUGAGAUGUGCCACACUCAAACCUUGUUAUGACCUCGGCACAUUACCCAUCUGACC